GCAAGUCGAGCGAGCUUGCCUAGAUGAUUUUAGUGCUUGCACUAAAUGAAACUAGAUACAAGCGAGCGGCGGACGGGUGAGUAACACGUGGGUAACCUGCCCAAGAGACUGGGAUAACACCUGGAAACAGAUGCUAAUACCGGAUAACAACACUAGACGCAUGUCUAGAGUUUGAAAGAUGGUUCUGCUAUCACUCUUGGAUGGACCUGCGGUGCAUUAGCUAGUUGGUAAGGUAACGGCUUACCAAGGCAAUGAUGCAUAGCCGAGUUGAGAGACUGAUCGGCCACAUUGGGACUGAGACACGGCCCAAACUCCUACGGGAGGCAGCAGUAGGGAAUCUUCCACAAUGGACGAAAGUCUGAUGGAGCAACGCCGCGUGAGUGAAGAAGGGUUUCGGCUCGUAAAGCUCUGUUGGUAGUGAAGAAAGAUAGAGGUAGUAACUGGCCUUUAUUUGACGGUAAUUACUUAGAAAGUCACGGCUAACUACGUGCCAGCAGCCGCGGUAA
rnacentral:rRNA from 1 species